UCAUGUCUCUCCUCCACUUCCCCAGUGCUUAGUGCUUUAAUUGCAAUGUGUGCUACCAAACUUAAAGUAAGGGUUUUUUUUGUUUUUUUUUUUUUUUUUCCUUUUCCUUUCUUUUUUUUGGUAUUUCGAGACAGGGUUUCUCUGUAUAGCCCUGGCUGUCCUGGAACUCACUUUGUAGACCAGCCUGGCCUUGAACUCAGAAAUCUGCCUGCCUCUACCUCCCAAGUGCUGGGAUUAAAGGCGUGCGCCCGGCUAGUAAGGUAUUUUUUUAUUAGCCUUUGUUAAAUUUAUAGUGUGAAGAGAAAAGUGAGGGUUUUGUUUUGUUUUGUUUCAUAAAAACUGUGCCCUUGAUUUUGUUUUCUUUUGUUCAUUUAGUAAUUUUAAUUGCUUUUAGUGUUUGCCUUGAUGUAGAUCAUGAGGUUUCAAGAUCUAGGUUUUAGGGAUCUAGGGAUGUGGUUCAUGAGUGCUUUGCAUUCCUGUAGUGUGGAGUUCAGAUUCCCAGCACCUACAUAAAAGACAGGCAUGACCUCAGUGCCUGUAAGGCUCACUGGUGGAUACUGGAGACAGGUGGAUCUGGACACUCCAUGGCUAACUAGUCUCACUGAAGUGACAAAUUCAGGUUCAGGAGGAAACCCUGUUUGAUGGAAUAAGGCAGAGAACGAUAGAGGAAGAUAUCCGUUCUCCUCCUCUGGUCUCCACAUGCAUGUGGAUGGGUGCACAGGCCUGCACACACAUACACAAAUGAGGAAAAAUAGAGCAAUAAAAUCUGGGCUUUAAUAAAAGCUUUAACUGGGCCAGUUGGCUCGUGCCUCAGUCCUAGUGCUUGGAAGGUGAAGGCAAGGGGACCGGGAGAUCAAAGCCGUCUUAGCUUUACAUAAACCUGUGUUGGAUAUGGUUGGAAUGCAUUUUAAAUUUUAAGACUAAAUGUUUUUUUCUAUAAGUAUAUAGUUUUAACUUUCUCUAUUAAACUCAUUUUUAACCUAGGCCUGGGCUAAUUCUUAUAGUUCAGGAUCUAUAUAGUUCCUGGAUGCUAAGAAGGACUUUGCAAUGUAUACUUCAUCAGAUAUGCUUUUACUUAACAAGAGUUUCUUUUUUGGUUUUUGGGAGUGAGGGUUGUUUUAUUGAGAUAGUCGCAUGUAGCCCAGGUUAGCCCAAGAACACUGUAGCUCAGGAUGACUUUGAUUCAUGAUCUUCCUAACUCCACUUUCUAAGUCUAGGAUUACAGACUGGGCACCACGCCUAACUUCCAUGUGAGUUUCUUAAAUUCUCUGUUUAACUGGGGUGAUUUAUUUAGCAUGGGCAUAUGACUGUAAUCUUAGCACUUGGUGGGGGGAGGUAUAAAACAGGAUUGCCACAAGUUCAUGACCAGUCUGAGCUAUAUUAAAGUUCUAGGCCAGCAGCUUGGACUAAGUAAAACUGUCUUUAAAAAGAGAGGAAGCUGAAUAAUAGGGAAGUGACAUCAAAGCAGGAAGUCUUUACUUCCAGCAGCACAAUAGACGCUGCUGAUUUGUCAUCAUAGAUUGUCUAUGCUUUUUUAAGACUUAUUUUUAUUUUAUGCACAUGAGUGAUUGCCAGCGUGUAUGGGUAGAUACCUAGUGGAUAUGGAGGUCAGAAGAGCCCUGGAACCAGAGUGAUGUGUGGUUGUAAGUCACCAUGUAGGAGCUGGGAACUUACCAGGUCCUCUAAAGGAGCAGCCAGUUCUCUUAACCACUGAGCUGCCUCUUCAGCCCAGGCUAUAGAUUCUUGUAGUUUCCAUUACAAAGAUGAAAAUGAGCCAGGCACACACUUAAUAGUCCGAGCACUUCAGAGGCUUGAUACAGGAGGACCAAAGGUGGGAGUGCAGCAAGGCCCUAUACCCCGUCUCAAUAAAUGAAUAAAUGAAUGAAUGCAUGCAUGCUUAGAACCUUAUUAGGAAGAACUAGUCUCAGACUGUUUUUCUUACGUUGCUGUGUUUGAACAAACUUCUUUUUAACCACUUCCUAUGUCAGUGACCUAAAUAAAUGCUAGGACCUCAAAGAGCUCUGUCUAAGUUUUUUUCUUUUCUGUAUCUCAGGAAUACAUUAGGUAGUGAAAAAGAAAAAACAGUAAAAAUCAUUGGAAUGUUAGCACUCAGGAGGGUGGUCAGGAUUGUGAGUUUGAGGCCAGCCUGGACUACUGGCUCAAAUGAAAAAUAAUCAUUGUAACUUUUAAAGAUGUGUUUAUUUAUUUUAUAUAUAUAUAUAUCACUAUACUCUAGCUGUACAGAUGGUUGUGAGCCAUCAUGUAUGUGGUUGCUGGGAAUUGAACUCAGGACCUCUGCUCCAGGGUCAGCUCGUUCUAGGGCCUGCUCAAAGAUUUAUUUAUUAUUAUAUGUAAGUACACUGUAGCUGUCUUCACACACACCAGAAAAGGGCAUCAGAUCUCAUUAUGGAUGGUUGUGAGCCACCAUGUGGUUGCUGGGAGUUGAACCACAUGCUCUUAACCGCUGAGCCAUCUCUCCAGCCCCCAUUGUAACUUUUUAUAAAUGCUAAAAUAACAGUUUAUGUACAAUAUGGAGGAAAAGUUCUUAAGUUGGAAAAGGCAUUUGAUUGAAAGUUGAAAUAGGAUAGCCGGGCGGUGGUGGCACACGCCUUUAAUCCCAGCACUUGGGAGGCAGAAGCAGGAGGAUUUCUGUGUACGAGGGCAGCCUGGUCUACAAAGUGAGUUCCAGGACAGCCAGGACUAUACAGAGAAACCCUGUCUCGAAGGGAAAAAAAAGUUGAAAUAGGAAUAGCAGGCAAAUGCAAGGAAGAGCCUGGCUAAUACUGUCUGCUAUGGACAAGUGUCAUUAUUUUGGCUUUAGAGACCACGUGAUGCAAGAGUUACAACUCCUCGAUUGGUGACAGCGCUCUUGUGUCUUUAUUUGAGGUCUUGAAUAAUAAUGUAGAAUGAUGUUCUCAUUCCAUUAGGGAUUGUGUGUGCUCGUGUGUGUGUGUGUGUGUGUGUGUGUGUGUGUGUGUGCAUGUGUGUGUUUAGAGGUUAGAGGACAACAACUUGUGGAAGUCCUUUUCCUUCUUCGACUAUACAGGUCAUGGGAAAGGAACUCAGUUUUAGUGCUUGGUGGCAGACGAGCCGUCUUGCCAGCUCAGGCCUGGCUCUUUUCAAAUGAUGAAGUUAGCCUUGUAUCACCAAUUAUCAAUCAAGGCUUGAAUGUUGUUGAUAAAGGUUUAAGGAUAUUAUGUUAGUAGAAUUAAAGAAAAGAUAUUUGGACCAGACAGUAUAUAAACAAUUUUCAAAGUGUUUGUAUUUUUGUUGUUGCUGGUUUGGUUUGGUUCUUUAAUGAAAAAGAAGCCUGGGUUGAUGGCCCCCGCUUAUAAUCAAGGGAAGAAAAGACAGAAUUGUGAGUUUGCAGACAGUUUGGGUUAUAUAGGCAGACCCUGUCAUAAAAAACUGAAAAGAAAGCUAUGACUAAAUUAAAAAGUCACUUUAUCUUUUUAUUUUGUGACACAACUUUUAUCACCUAGACUGACCCAGGACUUGGGUCCAAAUCCUGGGAGUGCCAGCAUGCUCCACCACACCUGCUUUCAAGUCAACCUUUUCUACGUGUUUCUAUGUACUGAGUAGUUUAAAAAGAGUAAGCCAAUGUGGUGGCUCAUGUAUGCUAUCUGAGUAAUUAUAUAAACUAAAACUGCUAUAUAAAAAGGUAAAAUAUUAUAAUAAUUUAGUGCUUUGAAAAUAAAAUUUCAGAGCUGAGCAUGAUAGUGCAUGCCUUUAAUCCUAGCAUUGAAGAGUCAGAGGCAGGAGAAUAUCCGUGAGUUCACUCAAAG
rnacentral:lncRNA from 1 species